AUUGAACGCUGGCGGCAGGCUUAACACAUGCAAGUCGAGCGGGGGAAGGUAGCUUGCUACUGGACCUAGCGGCGGACGGGUGAGUAAUGCUUAGGAAUCUGCCUAUUGGUGGGGGACAACAUCCCGAAAGGGAUGCUAAUACCGCAUACGUCCUACGGGCGAAAGCAGGGGACCUUCGGCCCUUGCGCUAAUAGAUGAGCCUAAGUCGGAUUAGCUAGUUGGUGGGGUAAGGGCCUACCAAGGCGACGAGCUGUAGCGGGUCUGGGAGGAUGGUCCGCCACACUGGGACUGAGACACGGCCCAGACUCCUCCGGGAGGCAGCAGUGGGGAAUAUUGGACAAUGGGGGGAACCCUGAUCCAGCCAUGCCGCGUGUGUGAAGAAGGCCUUAUGGUUGUAAAGCACUUUAAGCGAGGAGGAGGCUACUUUAGUUAAUACCUAGAGAUAGUGGACGUUACUCGCAGAAUGAGCACCGGCUAACUCUGUGCCAGCAGCCGCGGUAA
rnacentral:rRNA from 1 species